AUUGAACGCUGGCGGCAGGCCUAACACAUGCAAGUCGAACGCGUGGCGGACGGGUGAGUAAUGUCUGGGAAACUGCCUUAUGGCGGGGGAUAACUACUGGAACCGGUAGCUAAUACCGCAUACCAUCAGAUGUGCCCAGAUGGGAUUAGCUUGUUGGUGGGGUAACGGCUCACCAAGGCGACGAUCCCUAGCUGGUCUGAGAGGAUGACCGGCCACACUGGAACUGAGACACGGUCCAGACUCCUACGGGAGGCAGCAGUGGGGAAUAUUGCACAAUGGGCGAAAGCCUGACGGAGCCACGCCGCGUGAAUGAAGAAGGCCUUCGGGUUGUAAAGUACUGUCAGCGGGGAGGCGUUACCCGAAGAAGAAGCACCGGCUAACUCCGUGCCAGCAGCCGCGGUAAUAC
rnacentral:rRNA from 1 species